GACAGAGGGGGCAAGCGUUGCUCGGAAUCACUGGGCGUAAAGGGCGCGUAGGCGGGAUGGCAAGUCAGUCGUGAAAUCUCUCGGCUCAACCGAGAAACGUCGGCUGAUACUGCCGUUCUUGAGGGAUGCAGAGGAGACUGGAAUUCCCGGUGUAGCGGUGAAAUGUGUAGAGAUCGGGAGGAACACCGGUGGCGAAGGCGGGUCUCUGGGCAUCUCCUGACGCUGAGGCGCGAAGGCGUGGGGAGCAAACGGG
rnacentral:rRNA from 1 species